AACAAACGCUGGCGGCGUGCCUAAUACAUGCAAGUCGAACGAGGAAAGCUUUCGGGUGAGUACUAGUGGCGCACGGGUGAGGAAUACAUGGGUAAUCUGCCCUCGAGUUGGGGAUAACCAGUCGAAAGAUUGGCUAAUACCGAAUAAGACCACAGGAUCUGCGGAUCUAGGGGUUAAAGGUUUUUCGCUUGAGGAUGAGCCCAUGCGGGAUUAGCUAGUUGGUGAGGUAAUGGCUCACCAAGGCUACGAUCCCUAACUGGUCUUAGAGGAUGAUCAGUCACACUGGAACUGAGACACGGUCCAGACUCCUACGGGAGGCAGCAGUAGGGAAUAUUGCACAAUGGGGGAAACCCUGAUGCAGCGACGCCGCGUGAGUGAUGAAGGCCUUCGGGUCGUAAAGCUCUGUCGUAUGGGACUAACACAAUGAAGGUACCAUGCAAGAAAGGAUCGGCUAACUUCGUGCCAGCAGCCGCAGUAA
rnacentral:rRNA from 1 species